UAUAUAUAUAUAUAUAUUCUUUUGGUAAAAAGGUAAAAUAAGUAAAAGGAAGGAAGAUAGAUCAGCAGCAACGUCAAAACCACUUUGUCCCUUUAUUUCUACUCCGUAUUUUCAAGAUCUAGCCAUUUGAAUACAUCAAAUUCCUUAUACCCACCAUCAAACACUAACAUAUUAUUUUCUAAAAUAAAUCUAGAGAAUAGAAAAGUUCUUGAAAAAGAAAGAGAAAAAGAAAUCUUCGAAGGUUGAGGAUUGUCGGGCUGAAAUCGAGUAUUGCAAGAAAAACGAGGCCUCGUGCCUCAAGCCCCUGUGUAAUUCCGACAAAAAAUGGCGAGUUACUCUGGCAGCGGUAGCAACAUCAAAGCUACGGGGGUCAAAUCAUGUCUUGGGUGUCAAAAAUGUUCAAUCCAAGUUUUAAAGUAAUUCUAAAGGUCGAGAUCCAAGGAUCGCUGUAAGCUAAGUGUUACCGGCAUGUCCGGCCGGUUCGUUACCGACGUCACCGAUUAAAUACCGGAUUUGCUGCCGACCAAACGACUUCCUACCAGCCACUCAGAGAUCCUUGCCGGUCUCAAUUUAAGGAAGAAAAAGCAUCAGUGUCGUGGGUAAAGGUAAAAUGCCAUGGAUAUUAAAGCAAAGCUAAGGGUUGAGGUUCAAAAGUAGUAAGAGUAAAUCGGUGUUACCGACAUUUGUCCUACCGGCAGGUAUGCUAUCGGCAUCACCGAGUAAGUGCUGAAUUGCUACGACACCAGAACACCACUACCAGCUAAGUUCUCCCUCUCCUUAUUUAUGUGAAAUUAAAAGAAUGUGUUAAAGCAUUAGCAGAUUUGUUGACAAUAAAGCAUCCUAGUAUAAUAGUAUACGUAUUUCUGCUUGCAUUAUGAAUACAGAAGGCAGACUGUGAUAGAGUGAUACCUUCAGUCGACUUAAAAUUAUGGCCAUACUUAUUGCCGGCUCAAAUUACCCGAUUUAUUGCCGAAUGAUUUAUUGCCGGCUAAAAAUACCUGAUUCAUUGCCGGCUAAUACUAUCUGAUUUAUUCCCAGGAUACCCAUACCAUCUAGAUUGUUGUCGGCCUAAAGUGGUAAAUUGUUGUCGGCCUAAAGAGGAACUUGGUCCAAGCAUUGCUUCCCAACCUCCGAGGCAGAGCCUAACCGAUCCUAUGGAGAUUGAUGGAGUAACAAUACCUCACUGGUUACUACUCCAAAAGCAAGGAAAAAGGUAUAAGCUCAAAACAGUUGCACUAAAAAACAUCAGGAAAGUCUUCUUAUUUAUUGCACUCAUAUACUUUAUGUGGCCACAUGAUCUACCUAAUGCGUAAAGUAGCUCACAAGAUGUAUGAACUACAAACAUAACAAGAGUACUUUACCUGGGGUUUUUUAAUACUUUAUAGUCAUUAUUUUUCAGUAAUGGCAGCAGAUUAUGGAGCUAUGACAUAGUCAUGUUAGUCCAAAAUGACUCAAAGCUAGAGGCACCAAAUUUUCUUAAGUGGCUGGCUCUUUUUGGCAACGAUUGACUUGCUAUAAUCAUAACCAUCACAACAUAAUAGUUACAAUACUAAAUAAUAGUGAAAGCAAGAUGUAAAGCUGAGAACUGGCAUGUUCAUGACCUAAGUACUGGGUAUUGUGAUGGUUCAUGCCACUAAUAACACCUUGAGUCAUAAGAGGAUGCUCAAAUUCUCAUCCGCAUGUUACCAUGUAUAUAACGGUUGUCGAAAUUGUAUUUUUGUGACCAACAAAUUACUUAAGCACCUCUAUUUUUACUUUGAUGAAGUCAUAAAAUAGAGUAGCUGUUGGAAAUGUGUGUAUAUUAUGCACCUCAAAAUUUUUUCUACUUAUAACAUAUUAGAUUUUAAAAGAA